GGUCAGACUCACCGGCUCCGCACUUGCCUGACGCCGAGCCUGACGUGCAAUGCUUUGUGUCAACGUUUUGUUCGUUCGGCUCGCGUUAAGCAGGUGCGGCUUGUCUGCUGUCUGUGGG
rnacentral:precursor_RNA from 14 species